UCUUUGUUUCGUUUAGAGUUAAAAUUCGUAUUCACUGUGCACCAGAAAGUAUAUCUUUCGUUCAAACUCGGUAGAAGAAUAUUUUGGGAACCUGGAAAUGUCCUCAAAACAUUGCCCCUGCAGGAAUUCAUCAUCAGAGCACUCAGGAGCAUUUAAAGAAAACGGUACAAAUUUCAAACAGUAACCAAAAGAGAAGUGAACAGGGAACAAGAGUCUGUCCAUGAAAAAGAGUCCAUCAUCUCAAGACUCGAACUCGCUGUCGCUGCUGACGGAGAUCUCUGGAGUUGAGGCUCCGGUUCCUCUGCGCUCUGUCUCUGUGCUACAGUCGCUGGCCUCUGGGCUGCCCAGGUGGCGAGGGGAGGCAGGCAGCAAGUGGGGGUGUUGGCGGCGCUCCUGAAGGGACCCAUCGGGGCAGCUUUCAGAGGGCAGGAGGGAAGAAUCCUGCUGCAGUCUGGGUGGAGGGAGAGAGGAGAAAGAUGAGAGCGAAGUCCCUGAUUGGAGUCUUUUUUAACAGUACAUGUGGCAGAGCUGCUCUUCAGACAGAUAUAACCUCUUUUGGUUUAGUCAAGCCCUGGAGGGCUGAGCUAAAAAAGUUUCUUUAGUGUGGCAAAGUAUGACACGCUGGAAUUUUUCCUCAUUAAUUUGCCUCAUAAUAUCAGUUGUUUGCCUUGUAACAGACCUUAACCCAUUUGACUGAAGGCAAAUUUAGUUUUUCACAUUAUUCUUAGAGAAGGUCUGCCUCUCAGAAAAUGUUUGUGCAACAAAGAUCGAAUGUAGUUAUAAUCCUUUGUAGUAAUAAUCAACAUAAUCGGAUAUCAUUUUUGAGAUACCUGUUCUUUGCGGAUGCGGCACGGUCUCUUUGACGACGGUUCUUGAACCAGUUGCCGACCUGUGUGGGCGUGAGUCCAGUGGCCUGGGCCAAAUGCCGUUUCCUGGAUGGGUUGGGGUAGGGAUCUUGCAGGUACCACUCUCUCAGCAAACUGCGAGUUCUUUCCUGGAGAAGACAGAGACAUAUAUGGCAUAUUUAGGCUUCAAUGAUUAGUAAGUGUAAGUGUACAUAUGUUAUGCCAACUCUUCUUUUCUGUCAGAAUGGAUGCGUAGCAUUUUGAAAAGACACCAUAUGGAAGCUGGCCACAAUAAUGUGGUUAAUGUGGUUUUGAUAUCAUCCUAGUAAACCACCCUAAUCUUAUCAAUCUCAUAUGAUGCUCAGUAUAAUCUUGUUAGACUAGAUUCAUAAACAGAUGAUCACAUUGUACAUUCUAAGUAUACAUAAAAAUGUAUAUCCACUAAACUGGAUCAUGCUUAAGGGGCUUAAUAGGAUGCUGCAGAGGCUGGGGUUUGGAAUUAGAGAUUAAGUGCAUUUAUGAACAUUACUUCACCCUGCCACAAGAGGGAGAUC